rnacentral:rRNA from 1 species
UACGUAGGUGGCAAGCGUUGUCCGGAAUUAUUGGGCGUAAAGCGCGCGCAGGCGGUUUCUUAAGUCUGAUGUGAAAGCCCACGGCUCAACCGUGGAGGGUCAUUGGAAACUGGGAGACUUGAGUGCAGAAGAGGAGAGCGGAAUUCCACGUGUAGCGGUGAAAUGCGUAGAUAUGUGGAGGAACACCAGUGGCGAAGGCGGCUCUCUGGUCUGUAACUGACGCUGAGGCGCGAAAGCGUGGGGAGCGAACAGG